GUACCAAGUAACGCAACUCACACUGAUAUAACGCAAUUGUCAUCAUAAUAUAAUAAUAUAUGUUUCUGUACUGUACAUGUACAUGUCACAACAUAUACGCAUUUUAUAGACUCUUUUUGACGGAUGCUAGGGGGUCAACGUUUUGCAACAGGCACUCCUUUAAAUGUCUGCAUUGUCGUUUUUUUGUUGUUUGAAGCUUAUACUAUUGUUUUUUUAUUUAUUUAUUUAUUUAUUUUUUUUAUUUAUUUAGCUUUGCCAACUAGGGCAGGGUCACCACAACAGCAUAUGCCAAUUACUGUGGGCCCUUUUUUACCUAACCCACCCUUGUCAACUUUCCCUGUGGGAGGAAACCGGAGUACCCGGGGAAAACCCACGGAGCGUUGACUUUUACUCUUUUCACAUGGGGACUGGGUUCGAGUCGCACUGAGGAGGUACUUAGUGAGACUCGAACCUGCAGCCUCAGAGGUGAAAGGCAAGUGCGCUAACCACUUGGCCACCGAAGCCCCUAAGUUUAGGGGCGAAAUUUCCUGCUGCACAAUAAUAUUUGAAUGCGUAUUAAACUAUUAUGCUAAAAACAAUGGAUAAUUCAAUUUGAUUCCAAUUUUAUGUUAACAAAAACAAAAGCGUGCGCAGCGAAUAAAUUUCACUUAAGCCCUGUUUAAACGGAUCCAACAUUGUUGGGGCAACAUCAUCCAACAUUGUUGACAUAAUGGCUCAAACGGCUUCUUUUUCAAAUAUUUUUGUCAAGACUAGGUUUAGAGUUUGAGUAAAGCUUAUCUAACCAAAAAUAUUUGAAAGAGAAGCAGUCAUAUCUAGUAUAGUAACAUUGUUGGAUGAUGUUGGUCCAACAAUGUUGGAUCCGUUUAAACAGGCCUUUACUUAGCGAAUAAAUUUUUACAUUGUCAUUGGCGUGUUAAUUAAAUUAAACCACCAUGUAAUCCGUUCACAAAUGUUAAUAAUCAUGUAAAUAUUUUCUCUGAAAUGUUGGUUUUCUAGGCUUAGCAUGUGAUUUAUAACAAAAUAAAACAGUGUUUUGAAAACCUAGUUUUUUACAAAAUGUGUUCUCAG